GCAAGUCGGUAAGCGGGCUUCGGGCACCUACGGCAACGGGGUGCCUGAGGAAGCUCACCCCCACGCGGGACCGCAGCCCCGAAAGGGGCAGGGCGAGAGCCCUGGCAACGGCUCAGAAACGAGACCCCUUCCAGCGGAUGUGGAUGAGGCGGCUGAGGCGUAUGCCGAGAAGGCGCCUAGCAAUAGGCGCCGAGCUGACCCGUCGACGAUGCUGGGAGAAUGGUUGCAACGGCCGACCUGCGGGGGUAAGGCCAAAUAGGAGCCUAUGAGGCCCGCGCGAGGCUCGGGUAGGCCGCAUAGCUGAAUCCCGCAAAACAAAAGGUGAGCUAUACCGACAUGC
rnacentral:RNase_P_RNA from 1 species